rnacentral:rRNA from 1 species
CCUACGGGAGGCAGCAGUGAGGAAUAUUGGUCAAUGGACGAGAGUCUGAACCAGCCAAGUAACGUGAAGGAUGACUGCCCUAUGGGUUGUAAACUUCUUUUAUAUGGGAAUAAAAUGUUCCAAGUGUGGGAUUUUGUAUGUACCAUAUGAAUAAAGAUCGGCUAACUCCGUGCCAGCAGCCGCGGUAAUACGGAGGAUCCGAGGGUUAUCCGGGUUUAUUGGGUUUAAAGGGAGCGUAGGUGGAUUGUUAAGUGAGUUGUGAAAGUUUGCGGCUCAACCGUAAAAUUGCAGUUGAAACUGGCAGUCUUGAGUACAGUAGAGGUGGGCGGAAUUCGUGGUGUAGCGGUGAAAUGCUUAGAUAUCACGAAGAACUCCGAUUGCGAAGGCAGUUCACUGGACUGCAACUGACACUGAGGCUCGAAAGUGUGGGUAUCAAACAGGAUUAGAUACCCGGGUAGUC